rnacentral:tRNA from 1 species
UAGCUCAGUUGGUAGAGCAUUGCGCUUGCAAUGCUAGGGUUGUGGGUUUGAUUCCCAC